GCUAUGCCUCUCGAAGUCACGUUGCUCACUUAAGCUACCUUUCCAUUUGGCAUUCUCCACGACCAGAAUCGCCUGAAAGUUAACACUUGUCUGGCCGAUCUGGCUAAAGAAGGAAAGGGUGAUGUAACUUUUCGAGGUGGAUGUUUGGAUCAGAGAAUUGCUACCAAACCCCAAGUGGGUAGUUCGAUUGUCAUCCCCUACUUACCAUUCAAGCUUCUUUGAACCUCAUGUUGACUACUAGACGGCUAUCUAAUUCCCUGCUCUUUUAACUCACUCCCCUUGAAUCUCCAAAUCACUUGCGCACACAGGAAAUCCAAACCAGCUCCAAUCUGCUACAGCAUUGUUGUUCCUCCAUGUGGUUUCUGAAGAGCAUAAGGACCAUCUCAAAUCUGUAGAACAAUGCGCGGAAGGGCUACAAGAGCAAUAUAUUCAGCUUCUGCAUUUGCUAGAUGGGCAGAGUUUGAAAUUCUUUUCUUGUUGUUGUUCUUCAUUGCAUUUCUAAUCCUCAAGGACAUAGGAACUGGAACUUGUAUGCUUCCUUUCCAAGAAGUGACCAGCAGGAUAGCACGCUUUGUCAACAUUGUGCCUCUGCGCGGUGGACAAAUGAGCAAUGUAGGCAAAACCAGAAAAUUUGGGCAAGAGAGGAUCUAUAUGUUUGAUCAGAGAACAGGUUCUGUAGCGCACUAGAAAAUGAAAGAUCUCUUCCUUGUCCUAGCCGAACAAUUGGGCAUGGAAGCUUUUAUGGGAAUUUGCCUGCAAAAUCAUGCAACUCACUGUUCGUUUAGUUCAGCUGUGCGUUGGACUCCACGUCUGCAAGUACAAUGAGAUUUACAUUCAAUCUCUUUUCCAGAAUUUGUACCUGGAAUACAAUUGGGUCUUCAUGACAAAGCCUCAGGAAGAAAUGUUUGGGAAGGAAAGAGACACAGACGAUAGGGGGUUAAAAGCACCUUGAUAAAGAGAAAACUGUUACAAUCUGAAGAACUCAAGCCAUUAUAUUUUCUUGCUGCAAGAGGAACUUGUACCAGCGUCCUUCCCACUAUACUUAGUUUUCUAGCUAUACAAUUAUCUUCCUUCUUUA